rnacentral:rRNA from 1 species
GACGAACGCUGGCGGCGUGCUUAACACAUGCAAGUCGAACGGAAAGGCCCUGCUUUUGUGGUGUGCUCGAGUGGCGAACGGGUGAGUAACACGUGAGUAACCUGCCCUUGACUUUGGGAUAACUUCAGGAAACUGGGGCUAAUACCGGAUAGGAGCUCCUGCUGCAUGGUGGGGGUUGGAAAGUUUCGGCGGUUGGGGAUGGACUCGCGGCUUAUCAGCUUGUUGGUGGGGUAGUGGCUUACCAAGGCUUUGACGGGUCGCCGGCCUGAGAGGGUGACCGGCCACAUUGGGCCUGAGAGACGGCCCAGACUCCAACGGGAGGCAGCAGUGGGGAAUAUUGCAAAAUGGGCGGAAGCCUGAUGCAGCAACGCCGCGUGCGGGAUGACGGCCUUCGGGUUGAAAACCGCUUUGGCCUGUGACGAAGAGUGAGUGACGGUAAUGGGUAAAGAAGCACCGGCUAACUACGUG